rnacentral:lncRNA from 1 species
UUCAAUAAGUCAUUGUGGAAUAAAUAAAGACUGAAUUUUGAGGUCCUUGAUUUUUAUUGAGGUCAAAAUGAGAAUGAAGCAUGUCUCUUCAGCUACCAUAAAACUGGCCUUGAAGAUAUUGCCAUUGAUGGAGAGAGUAUAUUUUAUGUGUGUCAGUGACUUUCAACUUGUAAAGAAUGCCUCUGUGCAGAAGAGGAGGUGCCAGCAAAAGCAACUGGGAGAAGAGAUCGGAAGGGAGACGUGGCAACCCAUGGAGACAAGAAGAGGGGGCCUGGCUGGCUGCACUGCAGCUCCUCUGGAGUGAUCGCAAGAAUGAGGCCCAACUCUAAAUCUGAUUUCACCUUCCUAAAGAUAUCCAUUGCUUACGUGGCAAAACCCACUUCCUCAGUUAUAAUCAAACCAUUCUGUGAAAUGUAGUACAUUUUAAAGC